GAUGAACGCUAGCGACAGGCUUAACACAUGCAAGUCGAGGGGCAGCACAGGUAGCAAUACCGGGUGGCGACCGGCGCACGGGUGAGUAACGCGUAUGCAACUUACCUAUCAGAGGGGGAUAACCCGGCGAAAGUCGGACUAAUACCGCAUGAAGCAGGGGUCCCGCAUGGGGAUAUUUGCUAAAGAUUCAUCGCUGAUAGAUAGGCAUGCGUUCCAUUAGGCAGUUGGCGGGGUAACGGCCCACCAAACCGACGAUGGAUAGGGGUUCUGAGAGGAAGGUCCCCCACAUUGGUACUGAGACACGGACCAAACUCCUACGGGAGGAAGCAGUGAGGAAUAUUGGUCAAUGGCCGAGAGGCUGAACCAGCCAAGUCGCGUGAGGGAUGAAGGUUCUAUGGAUCGUAAACCUCUUUUAUAAGGGAAUAAAGUGCGGGACGUGUCCCGUUUUGUAUGUACCUUAUGAAUAAGGAUCGGCUAACUCCGUG
rnacentral:rRNA from 1 species